ensembl:lncRNA
UUGUGAUUAUGAUGCACAUACAGUGUACUUACUGUAAGCGAGCAACGGAGGAUCAAAGCCCUCGCCUUGGGUCACAGAGGACAGGCUAAAGUUCCCUGAUGACCGGUUCUGUGUUCAAACCGACCUUUAACAUUGUAAAUCAGUUUCAUUCCUGACAAUAGACUAAUUUGCACAUGUAGACCUUUCAGGUUAAUAUGAAGUUAUGAGAAGCUUCAUGGUAAAUGUACAGUCACUUAAUUCAAAGACAUUUCUGAUUGUCAUAGAAACUGUCGUUUCGUGUUCCCACUGAGAUGAGUUUUUUUUUGUUGUUGUUGUUGUUUUUUAUGUUUGUAGUAUGAGGAUCCAUUUGUGCCAUAAUUAUGUUCACACAAAGACACACUAAGCAUUUGUCAGCUGUGUUUGCAAUGCAUGCAGUGCAAACAGGCUUCCAACAGAAUCUUGAGGCAAAUGAUUGCAGUGAUUCUGUGACUGUGAAGCGACGUAAAAACUGCUGUCGGUAUGAUGGUGAAAAACCAACCAUGGACAGACGUUGACUCUGGCUUCUCGUAAAAUAAAGAUGCAGUCAGACUGUCUCUUAAACUAAUAUAAGAUAAUCCAUAGUCCAGUGAUGAGGUGAGGUUGCUUCUAUAACCUCACCUGAUCAUUAUUUUUCCAUCAUUUAUGCUACAGAGCUGGCUUUUUAAAAGAUUUUACUGUGUUACAUGUCAAAAUGCUCUUCCCUAAAAGCUCAGACUCACUUAGUAUUUAAUUCAGUUCAGGCACAGCCGACUGAGCGAGAGCCCUUCGGUCAACUAGGUGUCUGUGCAGACGAAGAAAAAGUCACAAGUUUUCCCUGGAUGAAGGAUCCCUAGCUUUUGUCUGGAGAUCUCUUUUAAUUUUUCUGCUUUGAAAGCACCCAACAGUUGGUGCUCCUUUACACGCCUGUGGCUGCAGUGCAGGUUUCAAGUUUCGAGUUUUAUCGUCAUAUAAAGGAAUGGAAAAAUCAUAACCAGCAAUGAAUGCCCUGUACUUAGAGGCACACGUGUCUGAUGCCCACCCUGCAGCCGAGGUGGGUCAGCAGAGAUCUGCUGCUGUUGGGCAAAAACACCCACUAGUCUGGGACUGACUCUGCUCCAGAUGAUGCCAUGACGUCAUGUGUCUUUCUAUUUAUUUUAUCCCUUGUAAUAAGUAUAAAUCCUAUAUUGGAUGAGGCUCUCGUCUUUUUUAAGUGCUGCUCUGCUUGUCUCUCGUUUUUGUGAACAGACAUGAAAGUUUAAAAAACGCGGCCAGUUUUUUCAAAUCCGGUAAAACGAGCAGGGCGACUUUUCGGGCAUGUUUUGGCCACAUAGACAGCAGCCGUACAAAUGUAAUUUUGACACCAGUGGAUCCUCAUACUAGCACCUAAACUGACUGCUGCCGUUUGUAUGAUGCAAGGUUGCAAACGGCUCUUAAAAAUGUCCAGAGUCGUAGGAUUACGUGGCGGUUGUGAAGUCAGUCAGAACACUACUUUGACUUGUCUUUGAGGUGAAAUCUUUCCUGCACUUUUUAAGAACAUGUUUUAGAUUUAGAGUGACGAUGUUGAUGUUUUAGAAACAUGGUUAAAAAAUAAUAAUAUUUACUGUGUCUUAGAGUAGAAUCAAACAUGUAGGAAUUGUUCACGUUCACACAAAAAAAAAACCACACAAAAAAAUAAAUGGGGGAGCACUCUGGUGAAAGCUAGUGAACCUUUCUAACCCACAUAAUGAGCCAAAUAAUAAGACUAGUGAGAGACGGGAUUGGUCAAAUAUGAUGGGAGAUCUGGACUGGAACAUGCUGUUUUGCAGGUUGGAUUUUAAGUUUGAAUCCCUCAAAAUGAAAGUCUUGUAAUGUUUACUCUCUUUGUGUUGCUGCCUCGUGAGGAGGGAGGUAUUUAUGUUUCAAAUCACAGCAAAAUGAUUGAUCAUUACACACUCACACACUCGUAUUUAUUCCCCUUCGAUAUAAAAGUCCACCUUUGUUUCGUUGUUUCCUGUUAACAUUUCUCCUGAAAUGGACCAAGUGAUGCAGCAGAUGUCUUGUUGGGGGAGGCGUUGUGUGUUUGAGGAUGUGGGGGGGGGGAAGCCCUGUGCUCUGGCUUUCCAUUCACACUGUACAGAAAUCUAGCAUGUCUCUCCAAAUGAUUAAUAAAGAUGUCUUAUUAC